rnacentral:rRNA from 1 species
UACAGAGGGUGCAAGCGUUAAUCGGAGUUACUGGGCGUAAAGGGCGCGUAGGCGGUUGAUUAAGUUAGAUGUGAAAGCCCUGGGCUUAACCUAGGAACUGCAUCUGAUACUGAUUGACUAGAGUAUUGUAGAGGGUAGUGGAAUUUCCGGUGUAGCGGUGAAAUGCGUAGAGAUCGGAAGGAACACCAGUGGCGAAGGCGGCUACCUGGACAAAUACUGACGCUGAGGCGCGAAAGCGUGGGGAGCAAACAGG